CGGAGUGUGGCUCAGCCUGGUAGAGCAUUCGCCUGGGGGGCGAAGGGUCGUCGGUUCAAAUCCGGCCACUCCGACCA
rnacentral:tRNA from 1 species